GCAGGGCGGGAAGAGCGCGGGCGGGGGGCGGGGCCUGUCGCCGUGGCGACGGCUGGCGCCAAUGGGCGGUGCCGCGCGGCCGGGGGAGAGGGGCGCUGCGGCCGCCAUUACACGCGGCGGCCGCGUUGUGGCACCGGGCCCGGGGGUCGGGGAGGGUCGGGCCCCGCGGCCGCGACUCACGGGGCUUCGGCUCCCCGCCGUGGGAGCGGCCGCGGCGCCCCGGGGACGUGCCCCGAGGGGGAGGGCGGCUCUUGGCGGAGCUGCGGGCCCAGCGCGGGGGGCUUCGCGGCGGCCAUGAGAGGGCUGUGGCCGUGGGCGGGUGGGGGAGGCCGCGGGGCUGAACGAGCGGGAGCUGUUCUAGGCCCGCAUUCAAACCACCGUCUUGGGUAGAGCUGUGAGGAAGCAUUGCUUAUGUUGGCGUGGCAAAAACCCAGCCCUUGCAUAAAGGCUGCCAGGUAGAAGCUUCCACUGCUGCUAUCAAACAUCCGAUCACUGUUUAGACUCAGGUCCGCUGAAUAUGCGCAGAGGAGGUGCCCACGGCUCUUCUGGAGCAGGCCCGCUAAUGACUGAACGGGGCGAGUGGCUCCUUCGCUGCAGCGUGAGGCUCGUUGCUGUUUCUCAUCGUGGCAACCUUAACGUGAGCAAAGAGAAGCAGUGUUGGUGCUCCCUGCAAUACUGGGGCCCUGGUUUGCAAUCAUCACCUAACUAAAUGCUUGUGCACUACCAAAGAUACUGGUGGUAAUCCCUGAGAUAGUGCGGAGCCUUCCAGUGCGCUUCCUUGCUUCUUACUGCCACUGGAAUACAGUACCGCAGUAACGUGCAAAGACUUGGUACGUUCUCGCUCUCUGGAUCAAAGGUUUUGGGAGCCAAAGUGUGUCUUUGAUUUCUACAAAAUGCUGAAACUGCUCAAGUGCGGUGGUGAGCUGCGUUAAUGGUUAAUAGGAAAUGUGUGAUGAAGGUAGCUUAAUUUAUUAGGGAAAUGGGCUAUUGAAAAAGACCCAGAUGAAAAAAAAACGCAGUCUGGAUGUGCUGAUUUGCUGUCACAUUGCUGAUCCUCUGGUAAUAUGAGCUUGUAUAACAAGGCAAACAUGAAAAAAGGUAGACAAAAUUAUGGAAAAUUGUAACAUCUUAAGUUCUGUGUAGCAAUUUACCACUGUAAGGUCAACAUGGUUUUGAUACAGGUUUUAGCAACAGCUAGCUUGCAUGCGUAGCUCUGCUGUUUUCCUGGCCAUUUCUAUUCACUCUUUCAUCUCAUCCAAGUAUGUAUAAAACAAACUUCUCAGACUACUAAUCCCAAGAAAAAUUUUUUUCUGGGUGACUGAAAUGACAUUUUAAAAUAUUUUCACUAUUUAGAAGCUUCCUUUCCAGAGAAGUGUUCAGAUGCCUGGAAUAUAUUUAAACUUACUAAAAUUCUCAGUUCCACACUGUGGUCUGCAGGCCCCAGCUUUGUUCAUGUUAGUUAUACAAAGGACAUGAGACAAAAUGCAAUGGAAGGGAAGUCACCUAAAAGUCAAAGUGGAAUUUCCCGAAAAAUUAUCUGCCAGCUUUUAGAGUGGUAAGACUAGUAAUAUAGACUGGAGGGUACAUGUGGGAUGGGAGGAGGUAACAAAGUAUAUUGAAAAUUUGCAUCUGUAGCAGAUGAUUAGAUAUCUCUAGCUAUCGCACCUUUACUCCUGAUGGAUUUAUUCCUCAGCGUUGUUCAGAAGAUGUAGCAUGAAGUCCAGUUAAAUUUGUAGGUUGUGGAGGAUGGCAGAAAGGCUAAUGGGUAGUCUUCAUCACUCUGUAGUGUUUACAGAUGGGCUGGGCAAGAAGAGAAAGUGUUAAGGGGAACAACUUAUGCCAUUAUGACAGGCUUAGCUUAAAAAGCCUGCAUAAUCAUUCAAAAGUCAUUUGGUAAGUAACCUUAAGCAAUGCAAUUAGUUUCAGCAGGCUCAGAAUGGAAAAAGCUUUAAUAUAAUGACUUUGUAAAGAAUUUGAUGUGCCAUCUAAAGCAUCUAAAACAUGCUGCAAAGGCUGUUUUUAGACAAGAUUUAAAUGCAGUGAUCACUCCUUGUAACUUGUAAAAUGAAGAUAAAACCACAACUGAUAAUUUUUCUUUUUUUGUUCUCAACUGUCUUUUGUCGAAUAAUUUAUUUCUGUUCUGAAAAUGUGUUACUGAGCAAGAGUCAGAAACUUUUCUUUCAAAGAUAUUUGAUUAUAUUGGGUCAUACAUGUAAAAAAGAAAAUGCUUAAAAAAUAUGACAUGCAGCAGAACUAAGAACAGUUUCCUGUCUCUUGCCCCCUACUUAAAGCAAAUUGCAGUAACAGUUGUUACAGCACCUGUCUCCCUGCCGCAUGUACAACCCCCAAACAAACAAAAACAGCACACUUUGUUACUUUACGAAAUAGCUCUUGGUCCUUCACUCUAAUACCUUUAGUUCUUCACCUAGACACCUAAACCCUCUUGUAUUUUCCCCAGCUGCAUCUCCUAAGCAUCUCCUCCGUUAACCUCUGUUCUGUCCAUGUCCCUUCCCCAUCCUCUGUACAAUAGGCGGCAAGUGGUGUGAAAGCUAUGGCAAUCACUACGGGACUGCCGUAGCCGGGCUGCUUGAGCUUAUACUGCCACAUGCAGAUGGGAGGCUGAUUUCACUCUCUUCCACAAAAGAACUUGGCAUCUCUGCGUUUUAUGUGCCAAGUUUAGUUGAAAUUAGUCAGCAGGUUGAAAAGUUAUUAGAGAAGAUGACAGAUAGACAGCACCAUCUGAGGGACAGUAUUGUUUUAGGAAAGACAGAUUGCCAUUUCCCAUCCUUAAAUUAGAAUAGUCAGGUUGAUGUGUUUCUCUGCCAGAUGAAACUCCUCACAACUAAUGGAAAUAGUGUAUUAAAAAAAUAAAAACAAGCCAAAACACUAAGGUUCUGUUUUUGGAGAUGGAAAACUAUUCAGUUUUCAGUGAGUACAAGCAAUGAAGACUUCUGGUAGUUCUGGUAAAACAUACUUUUUAAUUUUAAUUUCCUUUCCUGGGAAACCUUUCCCUGGAUGUAGCUCUCAUUCAGUGAAUGGAGUAGCUGCUACUCUCUUUGGAAUCUGUUAGGAUCUAACACCUUUGCAGUCCAGUUAUAUUAUGCUAGACUUUGUUGCAGGCUUGCUCAUACAGUUCUGCAAGUGGUCAUACUUGGCUUUUUUUCCUUUUUCUUGUAGCAGUCCUAAAGACAAACUAAUACUGUGUUAAUGUAGUUUUACAGAAGAUUAUCAUCAGAAGAGUUUCUACAGGAAGCUGUAAAAAGGCUAAUUCAGAGAGAUGUCAGCUAGAAGAGACCAGAGGAGACAGCAGACGAAGAUGUAUCCUGGAGACACUGACCUUGGUC